rnacentral:rRNA from 1 species
AUUGAACGCUGGCGGCAUGCCUUACACAUGCAAGUCGAACGGCAGCACGGGUGCUUGCACCUGGUGGCGAGUGGCGAACGGGUGAGUAAUAUAUCGGAACGUACCUUAUUGUGGGGGAUAACGCAGCGAAAGCUGUGCUAAUACCGCAUAAUCCCUAAGGGGAAAAGCGGGGGACCGUAAGGCCUCGCGCAAUUAGAGCGGCCGAUACCUGAUUAGCUAGUUGGUGAGGUAAAGGCUCACCAAGGCAACGAUCAGUAGCUGGUCUGAGAGGACGAUCAGCCACACUGGGACUGAGACACGGCCCAGACUCCUACGGGAGGCAGCAGUGGGGAAUUUUGGACAAUGGGGGCAACCCUGAUCCAGCAAUGCCGCGUGAGUGAAGAAGGCCUUCGGGUUGUAGAGCUCUUUUGUCAGGGAAGAAACAGCAGCUCUAACACAGUUUGCGAAUGACGGUACCUGAAGAAUAAGCACCGGCUAACUACGUGCCAGCCGCCGCAGUAA